CUUUCAUUCCAUCUUCGAUCAAGUUACAUCCUGAAGAGUUAAAGUUUGUACCUGGAAGUUGAAACACAAACAAAGAAUGGAGGAUCAGCAGCAGAAACAGUGACAAACAGCACCAGCAAUGCUUAACACCAAUUUUAAACCCAGCAAAUGAUAUGCAUCAAUCAAACUUAGCUUUCCAUUGAAAAUAAUGACUCGAGUCUCAAGCCAAACUUCUACAAAUCACACUCAGUCCAUUUUCUUUUUGACCCAGAUGAUAAAAUAUUCUUUCAGAGAUUCAAAAAUAACCAAAAAUGUAAGAAAAAUGAUCAAUGGAACAGUAAAACCAGUCCAGAUGUCCUAGCCUUCAGAUUCUCUCAAAACUUUCUAGCCUCUAAAAUGCCUCUCACCAUCUGAUUUCAGAACAUCCCUUUUUUUUUAAAAAACAUCUCUUU
rnacentral:lncRNA from 1 species